UGGGGAAUAUUGCACAAUGGGCGAAAGCCUGAUGCAGCAACGCCGCGUGAGGGACGACGGCCUUCGGGUUGUAAACCUCUUUUAGCAAGGAAGAAGCGAAAGUGACGGUACUUGCAGAAAAAGCGCCGGCUAACUACGUGCCAGCAGCCGCGGUAAUACGUAGGGCGCAAGCGUUAUCCGGAAUUAUUGGGCGUAAAGAGCUCGUAGGCGGUUUGUCGCGUCUGCUGUGAAAACCCGAGGCUCAACCUCGGGCCUGCAGUGGGUACGGGCAGACUAGAGUGCGGUAGGGGAGAUUGGAACUCCUGGUGUAGCGGUGGAAUGCGCAGAUAUCAGGAAGAACACCGAUGGCGAAGGCAGAUCUCUGGGCCGUAACUGACGCUGAGGAGCGAAAAGGGUGGGGAGCAAAACAGGCUUAGAUACCCUGGUAGUCCACCCCGUAAACGUUGGGAACUAGUUGUGGGGUCCAUUCCACGGAUUCCGUGACGCAGCUAACGCAUUAAGUUCCCCGCCUGGGGAGUACGGCCGCAAGGCUAAAACUUAAAUGAAUUGACGGGGUCAUAGCUGUUUCCU
rnacentral:rRNA from 1 species